rnacentral:lncRNA from 1 species
AAUAGAGUUUGGCCUGGCCCUAGUACAGUACAGUAUACUGCUGGGUGAAUCGCUCCCGAAAUCUGAAUUGAAGUCUUCUUGAUACUUAUCAUCAGUGUAAAAUAUUUGAAAGGCGUUGUCAAGUUAUGGUUUGGGGCCACUUUCCCGCCAAGCCUCUUCCUGGUUCAGCAGCUUAUUCUUCUUCAUUUAUGAUUCAAAUUUCUGAAUGUAACUUUACGAUCUAAUGAUGGUUGUAAAAUCUAAGAAAGCAGGUGGGUAUUAACAAGGGUUACAACUUACAAACAAGUGUGAGAAUAUACUUUAUUUAUUAUUUAUUUUUUAAUGCUUAAUUUUGUUGUGCUCAUAUAUUAUAUAUAUAAUAUGCUCUAUGUAGUUUAUACGAAUGCAAUAGUUUAUGCUGAUGCUAGUAUUUGAUAAUUUAUGUACAGGUGAAGAUAGAUAUCAUGUCAUUAGUGAAGGGACAUAUUAAGUUGGUUGAAAAGGUACUCUAGAUUGUGGCCAAAAGUUCCUUCAUAUAGCAACAGCUAGCCUUGUGUAUUCAUGCACAAUUGUUUUUAAUAGAAGCAGUACAUCAUAAUUCUUAUGCUAGUACAAUAAUUUUCAACUGCAUAGUACCUUGUGGUUCCUUGAAUUGAUUUCUCUUCUUUGUUAUGUAAAGCAAGACGAGACAUGUUCUAUUCUACAGUACCAUGUAGUUCUGAAGUUAUUCUGCAUUAAAUGAUUAAUGUUCGGGCAAUGAUGAAUUACUGUUGGUAGAUAAUAUCUUAAACUCUUUUGCAAUUGUUCCUCUCUUUGUGUGGGUGUUUUGGAUUACACUCUUCUACUAAUGAAAGGAAUAAAAGGAAAACCCCCAUCUAAGGGAAUGGAACCUGUAUACAGACUAUGGAAAAGGAAAACCCGUAGUUUACUCGCAACUUACAACUCUGACCUUAUAUAUAUGUAUAUGCAUUCUGUAAUUGAGUAAGUUGAUGUUAAUAUGUAAUGAAAGAUGAAAUUAUGUGUUCAUCAAACUUACUUCCUUCUGUUCUAUAGGAUGUGACAUAAUCAUUAAUAAAUAUGAAAGGAGUUUCGAGGAUUCAUGCUGAGAUGGUGAUUGCUGCAAUGACUUCUUAUGUGAUCUACAUAAGAACUCUUCAAAUGUAGCUUGAAGCUUCUAUAGUUCAGAUAAGGGAUUGUUCAAAGUAUGGAACAUUUAUCAAUGAGGAUCCAAUCUGUAAUGCUAUGUUUGGAUUGCAGGAAUUAAGGUGGGAAUGGAAUGAAAAAAAUUGUGUUUGGUUGUUUCUUUGUAAUGGAAUGAACCAUUUUCAUUCAAUCUCCAAUCCAAACGUAGCAAAGGGAAAAGUCCAUGAGUUUCCGAAUAGAGAAACAACUCCGCAAGACAGAGAUAUGAACUCAUUUGGAACUGGUUUUGCUACCUAUUGCUAAAUUGUUAUUUUUCUGUGCUAAACUUCUGUUUGUGUAGAAUUUCAGAUUUCUUGGUUAGAGCUUUGUGGUCUUGAAAUUUGAGAGUAUCAGUAAUUGACAUGAUAACAUUAAACAGUCAUAUAAGAUGCAGCAAGAAGUUCUGUUUGGUUAAUUUUUCCUAAAUUUGCAGGUUUUCUUUUGUUCCCCGAAAAUUUUUUGUUUGCUGUUCUGCGCUUAUACAAGCUAAGCAACUUCAGGAGAUGAUAACAUCAAUAGGUAAGCAAUUAUGAAGGUUCCAUAAGGCAUACUCCCUUUGUCACGUAAAGGUUGUCAUAAUUAAGUUUUAUUUUUGUUUAUUAUUUCAAAAAGUUAAAUCAUUCUUUCAAAGGUCAAGGAAACAAUACUGCAGUAUUAAGUAUCUUAAAAGUAUAUUGAAGAUUGUUUGAUAAAUUAGCAUUUUGGUUUUAAAAUUUGACUUCUUUCAUUUGUGUGAAAUACCAAUUGUGACAAUCUUAGUGAAACAUAGGAAGUAAUAGUUUGAACCUUCAGCCUUGUUCUUGUUAUUUUAUACAUUAUGAUUUGGGUCUAUGAUUUUUUUUUGGGUGUAUUAUCUAUUGCAUUACUUAAAUUGUCUCUUGAUCAAGAAAUGUAAAGAAAAGAGAAAACAAUCAUUAAUGUAUUACUUGUUCAUCUUGGUCCCAUUGCUUUUUUCUGUCAAAGAAUUUCUAUGGAUGUAAUUGUAAAGCUGGUGUCAAAAUACUGGUAAAGCAAGAGCUUCUUCAUUGCUCUUGUUUUUUCAUACAUUGAGCAUCAAUGGUGUUUUUUUUUGGGUUUAGCUGUAAGCACCUGAAUUGCAGUUCCAUAAUAUUUAAAUGUCCUAUGAAAUUGAAUGUCUGAAUGAUUGCAUUUUUUUUCUAUCAAUACCGUAUAAGACUUUACUGCUGUGUCCUUAGGCUUUAAACUGCAGUGUCAGGUGUACAGUUUCCUAUCGACAGUGUAAAGUAAUGUCGUUGUGUGCAUAUAAUCUUAGAAUCACAUAUCAGGUCUUACAGGUUAAUUGAUUUGACUUAACAAAUGCAUCCAGCUUCUUAUGGAGGCUAAAUUCCUUGGUCUCUGCCCCUGAUUGUGCUAUUUUUAUACAUGUAUAUAUAUAUGAAUACUUUUUUGUGCACAAACUAUGCAUAAAUUGUUGUGCACAAAUAGUAAGAAAAUAUAGUAUACGAGUAUUUCCAUUUAAAUUAUUGAUAAGGUUUAUAAUUAACAUUAUUUUUUUACUAUUUAAUGCAUGGGUGAUAUUGUUUGUGCACAUAGAAUUACUGGACGCCUCCCGCAGGGAAGAUCACGCGACAACACGUGGAUCCAAGCACUCGGCCUCAUGUUCGAUUAUCACAGCUUGAUUAAUAUAGACAGUUGCUACUUGCUACAUA